rnacentral:misc_RNA from 1 species
GAUGAAGAACGUAGUGAAAUGCGAUAAGUAAUGUGAAUUGCAGAAUCUCGUGAAUCAUUGAAUCUUUGAACGCACAUUGCGCCCUAUGGUAUUCCGUAGGGCAUGCCUGUCUGAGCGUUAGCUCACACCCCUCAAACUACUUUAUUGUUGGUUUGGAUGACUUUGGGAAAGCAUUAUAAAAAAUCUUUUUUUUUUUCUUAUGCCUCUCAGAAAUCUAUAGGCGGUACGGUUCCAACAAAACCAGAACGUAGUAAUUAAUUUUUAUAUCGUUCGUUUAUAUUUUGGAGGAGCUGUUGGCUUGCCUUUUGAACCCACAUAUUUAUUCUUAGGAAUAACCUCAGAUCAGGUAGGGAUACCCGCUGAACUUAAGCAUAUCAAUAAGCGGAGGA